rnacentral:tRNA from 1 species
GACCGCGUAGCUCAGCUGGCAGAGCAUUGGGCUAGUAUUCCAAAGGUCGUAGGUUCGCUCCCCACCGUGGUCA